CAAUUUCAAAUAUUGAUUUACGGGGUUCUGACCACUCCUUGAGAAUAAAGUGCCCCCCCAGGACCUUUGACACCUGGGGGUCUGAGGGGUCC
ensembl:snoRNA